GCCGACGUAGCUCAGUCGGUAGAGCACCUGUCUUGUAAACAGGCGGUCAUCGGUUCAAGUCCGAUCGUCGGCU
rnacentral:tRNA from 1 species